UUCUACUGCAGAUGCAGUUUAAACAGCUGACUUAAUUGUACAAAAGACAAAGUUAAUGAGGUGAAAAGAAGAAUAUGCUAACAAGAACAGUAGCUGUUGGAAAUGUGCUUUUCUCCCUACCACACACAGAUUAACUAAAACAUCUUAGACUUUCUUCUCAGCCCAGCAAUGCAAAGACUGAAAACUAUGUUGAUGUCUAUGAUUCUUUUGGCCAAACUCCUACAAAUCUCAUGUCUAGCUGCAUCGGGCUGAAUGGAACCCGACUCCUCGUUGGCAAGGGCAUGUUCGUCAUCCUGAGGCCGUGGCUUCUAUAAGCAGUUGAGACACAUUUAUCUACCAGGGAGGGGAAAUGCUACCAUCAAAACAUCACAUCAGAAGCUGUGACAGCACGGGGAGUCCUGAAGCAUUCCACAAUUGUGAUGAGAAAGGUGUGUGUCCAAGAUGUCACCUCUCUGGACACUCAGUUGGAUGUCCAGAGAGUCAACUGUGCCUCCCCUCUACUCCAAGCACAGGGAAACCUCAAGGUUAUCCAGCUUGACAGCAAUCAUCUAUGUCUGUCUCUAACCCCUUGGUUCCCUCCCCUAUCUUUGCCAUAAGCAGCCUUUCUCCUGUAUACUUGGGUCUGUGGAUUCAGCUGGAUAAGGGAGAGCCUGGAUUUCCUGGCUCGCUCUUGUCACCCUGUCAGGUUAUUUUUGCUUUGUCACACGGUCCAGCUAAAUCAGAAAUCUGCACCUGUCCCUUUGUCUUU
rnacentral:lncRNA from 1 species